rnacentral:rRNA from 1 species
CAGUCGCCGCGGGAAUACGAAGGGGGCUAGCGUUGUUCGGAAUUACUGGGCGUAAAGCGCACGUAGGCGGACAUUUAAGUCAGGGGUGAAAUCCCGGGGCUCAACCCCGGAACUGCCUUUGAUACUGGGUGUCUAGAGUAUGGAAGAGGUGAGUGGAAUUCCGAGUGUAGAGGUGAAAUUCGUAGAUAUUCGGAGGAACACCAGUGGCGAAGGCGGCUCACUGGUCCAUUACUGACGCUGAGGUGCGAAAGCGUGGGGAGCAAACAGGAUUAGAGACCCCUGUAGUCCCUGUCUCUUAUAC